UCGUCCAUAAUACAUGCAAGUCGAGCGGACCGACGGGAGCUUGCUCCCUUAGGUCAGCCGGCGGACGGGUGAGUAACACGUGGGUAACCUGCCUGUAAGACUGGGAUAACUCCGGGAAACCGGGGCUAAUACCGGAUGCUUGAUUGAACCGCAUGGUUCAAUCAUAAAAGGUGGCUUUUAGCUACCACUUCCAGAUGGACCCGCGGCGCAUUAGCUAGUUGGUGAGCCAACACCUCACCAAGGCGACGAUGCGUAGCCGACCUGAGAGGGUGAUCGGCCACACUGGGACUGAGACACGGCCCAGACUCCUACGGGAGGCAGCAGUAGGGAAUCUUCCGCACUGGGCCGAAUUCUGACGCAGCACCCCCCCUCUUUCUCACUCUUCGUUCGAAAACUCAAUUUU
rnacentral:rRNA from 1 species